ACAGUUAGAAAUGACUGCUAAUACCGCAUAAGACCACAGGGCUGNAUGGCCUGGUGGUAAAAACUCCGGUGGUGUAAGAUGGGCCCGCGUCUGAUUAGGUAGUUGGCGGGGUAACGGCCCACCAAGCCGACGAUCAGUAGCCGACCUGAGAGGGUGACCGGCCACAUUGGGACUGAGACACGGCCCAGACUCCUACGGGAGGCAGCAGUGGGGAAUAUUGCNNNNUGGGGGAAGCCCUGAUGCAGCGACGCCNCGUGAGUGAUGAAGUAUUUCGGUAUGUAAAGCUCUAUCAGCAGGGAAGAAAANGACNGUACCUGACUAAGAAGCCCCGGNUNACUACGUGCCAGCAGCCGCGGUAAUACGUAGGGGGCAAGCGUUAUCCGGAUUUACUNGNUGUAAAGGGAGCGUAGACGGNGGCGCAAGCCNNAUGUGANAGCCCGGGGCUCAACCCCGGGACUGCAUUUGGAACUGUGCUGCUAGAGUGUCGGAGAGGCAGGCGGAAUUCCUAGUGUAGCGGUGAAAUGCGUNNAUNUUUANGAGGAANCACCAGUGGCNAAGGNGGCCUGCUGGACGAUGACUGACGUUGAGGCUCGAAAGCGNGGGAGCAAACAGGAUUAGAUACCCUGGUAGU
rnacentral:rRNA from 1 species